GAUGAACGCUGGCGGCGUGCCUAAUACAUGCAAGUCGAGCGAACAGACGAGGAGCUUGCUCCUCUGAUGUUAGCGGCGGACGGGGGAGUAACACGUGGAUAACCUACCUAUAAGACUGGGAUAAUUUCGGGAAACCGGAGCUAAUACCGGAUAACAUGUUGAACCGCAUGGUUCAACAGUGAAAGACGGUCUUGCUGUCACUUAUAGAUGGAUCCGCGCCGCAUUAGCUAGUUGGUAAGGUAACGGCUUACCAAGGCAACGAUGCGUAGCCGACCUGAGAGGGUGGUCGGCCACACUGGAACUGAAACGCGGUCCAGACUCCUACGGGAGGCAGCAGUAGGGAAUCUUCCGCAAUGGGCGAAAGCCUGACGGAGCAACGCCGCGUGAGUGAAGAUGGUCUUCGGAUCGUAAAACUCUGUUAUUAGGGAAGAACAAAUGUGUAAGUAACUAUGCACGUCUUGACGGUACCUAAUCAGAAAGCCACGGCUAACUACGUG
rnacentral:rRNA from 1 species